CUUCGCAGUAAAAGCUAAUGAAAGGAAACACAGGGUUCCCAGGGCAGGUGCUUGGCACUUCUCCAGGAAUAGGUAAAAGGGAAGCGGCAGAUGUUCAAGGGAAGGGAGCAAACAGCAGGGACAGAGCGUCCCUCCCUCCCUGGUGGGGAUGAGCAGAGCACACCUGCUGCUGUGCGGGCUCCCGCUGCCAAGCAGAGCGGCACAGCUGUGAGACCCUGCUUCUGGCUGCUUCGCCUGUCUUCAGGGAUGGAGCCCCUCCCAAGCAAGGAGAGUUCAACUGGGUUCUUUGGCAGCCGAAGUCUACACGGACCCUGCAGGGAGCGGUGGAGAAAAGAGUGAAAACAUGUUUUUGGAUGAACAAUUCACAUACGCUCAACCUGCUGCUCCUUGCGGCCAUACCUUGAGAUGGAAGACACAUUUUUGAGGGUGAUGUUACAGGUCACAUGUGGGGCAUAUUGAUCUUGAUGAGAAAGCUCACUCAGAGAAGUAGUCAAGAAAGCAAUAUAUUGAAAAUAAAGCCAUGUAUGUAGCAACGAAGGUAUUCAAGGUGCCCACUUUGAUGACUUGUACUCGUGCCUUUGAUCCCCACUGUAGAAAAUGCUCUGCUCCAUUUCAAAAGAGAUUGCCUUGUGCCCCAUUUGUUGGCCUUUGGAUCAAACCAGCAACAGACCUCACAGAUAGAAUUCCACCAUUAGCCAUUCACAAAGAGGUAAAUUCUAAGUCCUUUGCCUCACUUCCAAAUAUUUCUCUCCAGAGAAAAGCUUUUUUUUUUUUUUUAAAUCUAUUUGUUAAUAUUGCCAUCUGUUUUGGUUACUACUAA
rnacentral:lncRNA from 1 species